rnacentral:rRNA from 1 species
CCGGCACGGUGGAGUAACACGUAUCCAACCUGCCGUCUACUCUUGGACAGCCUUCUGAAAGGAAGAUUAAUACAAGAUGGCAUCAUGAGUCCGCAUGUUCACAUGAUUAAAGGUAUUCCGGUAGACGAUGGGGAUGCGUUCCAUUAGAUAGUAGGCGGGGUAACGGCCCACCUAGUCUUCGAUGGAUAGGGGUUCUGAGAGGAAGGUCCCCCACAUUGGAACUGAGACACGGUCCAA